rnacentral:rRNA from 1 species
UACGGGGGGGGGGCAAGCGUUGUUCGGAAUUACUGGGCGUAAAGGGCUCGUAGGUGGCCAACUAAGUCAGACGUGAAAUCCCCAGGCUCAACUUGGGAACUGCGUCUGAUACUGGAUGGCUUGAAUUCGGGAGAGGGAUGCAGAAUUCCAGGUGUAGCGGUGGAAUGCGUAGAGAUCGGGGAAGAACAUCAGUGGCGAAGGCGGUCUGCUGGGCCGUUGCUGACGCUGAGGCGCGACAGCGUGGGGGAGCAAACAGG